rnacentral:lncRNA from 1 species
CGCGCGGGGGGCGAGUAAGCCAGCGGCAGGACCAGCGGGCGGGGGCCCACGAACACAUGCCUCACUCCUGUCAGCAGUUCCACCUUUUCAUGGUUGAGGAGCACAUGUGGUCGCCAGCCUCCCAUCUCCAGAGUCCCCUAAGGCAAGAUCCCCAGUGGAUUAGAAAGGACUGAAGGACUUUUACAGGCUAACAGCAAGAAGAACAAAGUAACUGCAAAAUAGACGGAGAAUUCUUGAAGACGGUAGCUCUUGGUCACCAUAAGCGCUGCAGAGACCCCGAGGUCCACAUUCUGUUGUAGCAAAAGCUGGCAGGCUGACAGAGGCGGCCUCAGGACGGACCUUCUGGCUACUGACCGUUUUGCUGUGGUUUUCCCGGAUUGUGUGUAGGUGUGAGAUCAACCAUGAGUUCCGUUGCAGUUUUGACCCAAGAGAGUUUUGCUGAACACCGAAGUGGGCUGG